CCUACGGGAGGCAGCAGUGAGGAAUAUUGGUCAAUGGACGAGAGUCUGAACCAGCCAAGUAGCGUGAAGGAUGACUGCCCUAUGGGUUGUAAACUUCUUUUAUAUGGGAAUAAAACGUUCCACGUGUGGGAUUUUGUAUGUACCAUAUGAAUAAGGAUCGGCUAACUCCGUGCCAGCAGCCGCGGUAAUACGGAGGAUCUGAGCGUUAUCCGGAUUUAUUGGGUUUAAAGGGAGCGUAGGUGGAUUGUUAAGUCAGUUGUGAAAGUUUGCGGCUCAACCGUAAAAUUGCAGUUGAAACUGGCAGUCUUGAGUACAGUAGCGGUGGGCGGAAUUCGUGGUGUAGCGGUGAAAUGCUUAGAUAUCACGAAGAACUCCGAUUGCGAAGGCAGUUCACUGGACUGCAACUGACACUGAGGCUCGAAAGUGUGGGUAUCAAACAGGAUUAGAUACCCCGGUAGUC
rnacentral:rRNA from 1 species